rnacentral:rRNA from 1 species
GACGAACGCUGGCGGCGUGCUUAACACAUGCAAGUCGAACGAUGAAGCCGGAGCUUGCUCUGGUGGAUUAGUGGCGAACGGGUGAGUAACACGUGAGUAACCUGCCCUUGACUCUGGGAUAAGCGUUGGAAACGACGUCUAAUACCGGAUACGAGCUGGGACCGCAUGGUCACCAGCUGGAAAGAACUUCGGUCAAGGAUGGACUCGCGGCCUAUCAGCUAGUUGGUGAGGUAACGGCUCACCAAGGCGACGACGGGUAGCCGGCCUGGGAGGGUGACCGGCCACACUGGGACUGAGACACGGCCCAGACUCCUACGGGAGGCAGCAGUGGGGAAUAUUGCACAAUGGGCGCAAGCCUGAUGCAGCAACGCCGCGUGAGGGACGACGGCCUUCGGGUUGUAAACCUCUUUUACCAGGGACGAUAAUGACGGUACCUGGAGAAAAAGCCCCGGCUAACUUCGUGCCAGCCGCCGCGGUAAGAC